UUGGCAGGGACGGGAGCGCGGAAGUGACCGUGUGAGUGAGUCAGGUGAAGGUUCGAUCUAUUCCCCCCCAAAAAAAACAAACUAGCCAGGCCAUGGCCGGAGGAAGACAUUCCUUCACCCCUGCCAAGCUUCUAAGCCGGUCCAAGGACCCCUGAAGGUCUAGGAGAAAUGCUGGAGAACAGAGUCAAAGUAAAACAAAUCUUGCAAUGCUGUCUGACCUGCUGAGUUCCACCAGCAUUUUGUGUGUGUUCCUUUGGGUUUCUAGCAUCUGCAGAUUUUCUCAUGUUUGAGAAGGACUUACUGUGUGCAGUUCUGGUCCCGUGUAUCAACGACACCAUCAUCACUGCAAGCAACCUCUUCCAUUAUGUUCUUGGCUAAGCAUGGAAAAGAAGGUUUGCUGUCUUUUGCACAUUGUUCUAAGCAACAAUGCUGGCUUGAUUUACAGUUUAUACAAAGAGGUGCCAAAAAAGACCAGUAACAUCAUGAAGGAUCCCACAUACCCUCCUCUUGGACUGUUUGUCCAUUCCCAUCAUGGAGGAGGCUACUUAGCAUCUACGCCAAGACAAUCGGACUUAAAAACAGUUACUUUCCCCAAAAAGUAAGGCUGAUGAACAUCUCCACCCACUAAUCCAAGCCUCCACACCCCCAACUCUUCAUCAUGUCUGUCAAUCACCUUAUGUACAGACACACUUGUGCCUAACAUCACUCUAUGGGCAUACAGUCAAUCUGUGUCUAUAAGAUAUCUUAUGUAUUUAUAUUUAUUCUGUUUUUAAAAAUGAUUAUUGUAUU